rnacentral:tRNA from 1 species
GCCUGGGUGGCUCAGUUGGUGAAGCAUCGGACUUUGGCUCAGGUCAUGAUCUCAUGGUUUGUGGGUUCGAGCCCCACAACAGGCU